GCAGCUCUGUGGCAGGGCGUAUGCUUUGUACGCAGAAGGUCCCAGGUUCAAAACUUGGCAUCUCUA